rnacentral:rRNA from 1 species
AACGCUAGCUACAGGCUUAACACAUGCAAGUCGAGGGGCAGCAUGGUCUUAGCUUGCUAAGGCCGAUGGCGACCGGCGCACGGGUGAGUAACGCGUAUCCAACCUGCCUUACACUCUUGGACAGCCUUCUGAAAGGGAGAUUAAUACAAGAUGUUAUCAUGAGUAAGCAUUUUCGCAUGAUUAAAGGUUUACCGGUGUAAGAUGGGGAUGCGUUCCAUUAGAUAGUAGGCGGGGUAACGGCCCACCUAGUCUUCGAUGGAUAGGGGUUCUGAGAGGAAGGUCCCCCACAUUGGAACUGAGACACGGUCCAAACUCCUACGGGAGGCAGCAGUGAGGAAUAUUGGUCAAUGGACGAGAGUCUGAACCAGCCAAGUAGCGUGAAGGAUGAAGGUUCUAUGGAUUGUAAACUUCUUUUAUACGGGAAUAAACGAAUCCACGUGUGGAUUUUUGCAUGUACCGUAUGAAUAAGGAUCGGCUAACUCCGUGCCAGCAGCCGCGGUAAUACGGAGGAUCCGAGCGUUAUCCGGAUUUAUUGGGUUUAAAGGGAGCGUAGAUGGGUUGUUAAGUCAGUUGUGAAAGUUUGCGGCUCAACCGUAAAAUUGCAAUUGAUACUGGCAGUCUUGAGUACAGUUGAGGUAGGCGGAAUUCGUGGUGUAGCGGUGAAAUGCUUAGAUAUCACGAAGAACUCCGAUUG